UCUCCGUAGGUGAACCUGCGGAGGGAUCAUUACAGAGUUCUUGCCCUCGCGGGUAGAUCUCCCACCCUGUGUUAUUGCUACCUUUGUUGCUUUGGCGCGCCGCCCUCGGCUACCUGCCCCGGCUGGUACGCGCCCGCCAGAGGACCCCAUACCCUGAACGCCAGUGUCGUCUGAGUAAUAUACAAUAGUUAAAACUUUCAACAACGGAUCUCUUGGUUCUG
rnacentral:misc_RNA from 1 species